UAAUAUUUUGGUUAUUAAAGUUUAUUUUUAUAUUUGAAAUUAAUUUUUUAUUUUUUAGGUGAAAUUUAAAAUAUUAUUAAUUUUGGUUUUAAGGUUCUUUGAAAUUCAAAAGAUAAACUAGGAUUAGAUACCCUAUUAUUUUGAAUGUUAAUUUAUCCAGGGUAGUAUUAGAUAUGUUCUUUAAACCUAAAGAAUUUGGCGGUAUUUUAGUCUAUUCAGAGGAAUCUGUCCCGUUAUCGAUAGUCCGCGAUUAAAUUUUACUUUAGUUUGUAUUCAGUAUGUAUACCGCCGUUAUUAGUUUAUUUUUUGAGAAUUAAUUUACUUUUAUUUUAAUUAAAAUAUAUUUCAGGUCAAGGUGCAGA
rnacentral:rRNA from 1 species